rnacentral:rRNA from 1 species
UACGUAGGGUGCAAGCGUUGUCCGGAAUUAUUGGGCGUAAAGAGCUCGUAGGCGGCUUGUCGCGUCGGCUGUGAAAACCUGGGGCUCAACCUCGGGUCUGCAGUCGAUACGAGCAAACUAGAGUGUUGCAGGGGAGACUGGAAUUCCUGGUGUAGCGGUGAAAUGCGCAGAUAUCAGGAGGAACACCGGUGGCGAAGGCGGGUCUCUGGGCAACAACUGACGCUGAGGAGCGAAAGCGUGGGGAGCGAACAGG